rnacentral:rRNA from 1 species
UACGAAGGGUGCAAGCGUUACUCGGAAUUACUGGGCGUAAAGCGUGCGUAGGUGGUUUGUUAAGUCUGAUGUGAAAGCCCUGGGCUCAACCUGGGAAUUGCAUUGGAUACUGGCAGGCUAGAGUGCGGUAGAGGAUGGCGGAAUUCCCGGUGUAGCAGUGAAAUGCGUAGAGAUCGGGAGGAACAUCUGUGGCGAAGGCGGCCAUCUGGACCAGCACUGACGCUGAGGCACGGAAAGCGUGGGGAGCAAACAGG